rnacentral:lncRNA from 1 species
GGCGAGGAGUGGCGGCCGCCACUCCCCUCGCCGGAAAUGAAGCCCAGGAGCGAGUACCCGCCCCUCCUCUCGCCGGAAAUGAAGCCAUGUUUUUUGCUGCAGCUGCACAAACGCUGCCCGCUGUUAAGGCCCGGGAGGGGUCCGCCCCUCCUCUCACAGGAAAACAUGCCCAUAAAUCAUGGUUUGCUGCCCCAUAGCACCUCUGGUUUCGCCGGAUUGCAGCUCACAGUUGCUACAACUGCAGCUGUUCUUCAUGGCUGCGCAGGGAAGGGAAAACUUGAAAAAAAACAUUUAAUAUUAAAAUAAGUGAAACGGUGUGUUUGGGCAUCUGGGCUUAAUUUGAAAAACAAAUAUUAAAAUAUGAUGGGAGGACCACUUGUCCCCAUUACCUCUCGGCUUCCUCCCCCAAAGUUUUUAUUAAAAUAUGAUGGGAGGACCACUUGUCCCCAUUACCUCUCGGCUUCCUCCCCCAAAGUUUUCCUUUUUUUUAUGCAUGUAUGUAUAAUGGACCUGUUGGGCAAUGCCAUUGGAAUGGCUAAAGAGCACUUUUAGUUACAUCUCCCAUAAAAAUUUACAUCUUUCUAAGUUCUCGAAGUGCUUUUUGUCAGAUUAUUCUUCAGGAAGUUGUUCACGAAGCAUUUAGAUAUUGAAUAAACUAAUGAAUGCACUUUUAGGCUUUUAGCGUAAACACACUUAUAAAUGAGCAUAACUACUUUUUACAUAGUUCAAUCACCAACAAAUCGUAUAUCGCUAGACUUAUGUUGACAAAUUAAAUCCAAAUCAAACGUUUAAAAAAGAAUCAACUUAAUCAAUGAUCUAAAUUUAAAUUAUGACAACACAUUUUUUUGUGGUUUGUUAACCCAUUUCUCUCUUCUCUUUUC